GAUAAGUGGAGGCUUAUUCUGGAAUAACCCUCACAUGAACAUGGAAUGGAAUCCCAAGGGUCAUCCUAAUUGCAGGGUUAUUGGGUGACGGAAAAAAAGAAAUAAUGACACUUAAAUGCUACAGAGCAAUGAAGGGUUAUCUGGGAUAAUGAAAAGCCAUCAGCAAUAGCCAAUUUCCGAGACGCGAUCGACAUUAAAGUUGUUUUAUCAGUAAACAAACAAAGCAAUGGAGAAACACAAAAACAAAAUCCAAACAUAACCAAUAUGAAUAUGAAGGAUACUGAUGAAGCUCAAACCCAAAAGAAAAAAGCAAAAAGAUCAAAUCCAAAGCGAAAUCGAUAUUUACCUGAUCACAAGGGGUCAACGGCGAUUGAAAUAGCGGUGUUAGAUCCUCUUUCAGAAUGCUCUUUCUUCCGGCGACUCAACUCCGGUGCCCGUUGGAUCGUCCGCUUGGCUGACGGGUUUGGAGAUCAAAAGAGGUCUCUGUCAAAUCCCCUUUUCAUGUGCUCAGUCAGGAUUGGCCUUACUUGAUGCUAAACCAGAACCGUGAAUUCAGAGUAUUGGUCUGAACUUGGUUUUGGGUGGCUUGACGUUCAAAUGGAUACAAUGCCUGCCGUGUUGAAUUUGCUAAUCCUUCCUUCUGAGGCGGAUGAAGGGCCAGUUUUUCCAACGAAAUUAUAAGCCUUUUUCGUUGUUGAAGGAUGAGUAACCACGAAGGAUUUGAGGUUGAUGCUUUCAUAUUGACUUUGGCGUGAGUUCUGCUGUUAAUUCAUGUUGUUGCUCUGAAGGUUGCGUCUGAUCUCGCUUAAGAGCUUGUUGGAGUUGGACGACCUGUUGUUGAGAUUGCAUCUGAAGCUUAUGUCUCAAAAGCUGUUGGUUGUACAGAUACUGUCUUUUUGGAUCUCAACGAGUUUUGGC